CAUUAAGACUCUCGGCAACGGAUAUCUCGGCUCUUACAUCGAUGAAGAACGUAGCGAAAUGCGAUACUUGGUGUGAAUUGCAGAAUCCCGUGAACCAUCGAGUCUUUGAACGCAAGUUGCGCCCGAGGCCUUCGGGCCGAGGGCACGCCUGCCUGGGCGUCACG
rnacentral:rRNA from 1 species